ACUUAAUCUGUUGGUCUAAUGUGUCGUCUCUCGCUGGUAUCUCAUAUACGCCAGGCCUUUGUAGGGGGUUCUUGUUAUCCUUGUCGUUUCUUAAUAUAUUAAAUAACGUAUUCCUUCUGUUAAAGAUUACAUGUGAUUGUGUACACUUUUCAAUUUUGUUUUUAUACUUCAUAGUUACUGGGUUGAUGUCCAAAUUUAGGAAGUUCAUCGGGUCUCUAUCCGUGGUUUUAGGUUUCUUGUUUGUUCUUUUGGUUAUUCUAUUCCACAAGUUUAAAAUUAUAUUUCUAUCAUAUCCGUGGUUUACGGCCUGGUUUACAAUCCCUGUAGUUCUUCUUUUUGACUCCUGUAUGUUGUGCAGUGUGUGUUUAUUCUUUGUAGUAAGGCCCUAAAUGCAGCCAUUUUAUAUGUCCAUGGUUCCUCGGAUGUUGCCGGUAUAAAAAGUGCAAUGCGAACAUUAGAAGAAAGUUUAAA
rnacentral:lncRNA from 1 species